CUUGUCCCUAUUACCCCCUCCUCGUUCGCUCUGCCCUAAUUAGUCAGAAUUAAGACGAAUGCCUGGGCCUCCCACGAUCAAUUGGUAUCGAGCGGACCUUCGCUCGCCCCUGCCUGGGGGCCUCUCUUGGCCGGCAGAUCAUUUAUAUCAAUCGCUUUUGUUUUUCUUUCCUUCCCCCUUCCCAUUCUUCCGUCCACCAAGUGCAAGGUCUGGUCUAUUGGUUGGCGAGCAGAAUGGACGGCAGAUAGAAUGGCAAAUCCUGGCACGUUAACUGCUACAGUUGUAUUGAUGUCACAGGGACACAUUCUUUAGGAAUACUCAGGGACACAUACGCCGGUCACAAGAAAAUGUGUGUUAUAUGCAUUUCUGUGCAUUUGUGGGGGAGAGUUUGAGCUUGUGUUCAGUGCUUUUUAUGCCGUCUCCUUUCACUAACGAGCUCACCCUUUAGAAGCAGGAGUCCCUCUUCCCUGCCCUUUGCUCUUCUUGUUGUCCUUCUCUCAAAUACCUCUCUCUUCUCUCUCUUGCUCUGCCUUAAUUACUUGUUAUUCUGGGUGAGGAGAGGCAAUAUGUGUUUCAUGUUUUUAUUGAUUUACCCCCAUUUGGUUCAAGAUAAUCAUGCAAAAGGAUGUAUAUCAAUCUCUCACUUCUGCUUAUGUUCCAUCCUUUUUCUUCACAUUCUCUCUUUGUCGUAGCUCUUGUGCCGUCUUGAUUCCCAGCACUGUGUAAGGACGGAAGCAAGACAUGUAAAACUUACUAGUGGAGAAGACCAAAGGAAGGCAGUGUCACUUGAGAUAUUAGAUAGAUAAAAACACACUGCAAACUGCAAGUUAAAACAUGAACCCUCACUGAUUCUCUUUUUGAAUAGAAAGAACCUGCUCUACUUGUAGCUGUGUCUUGCAAUAUCCAGCUGCUUUGACCUGCUUGUGGCUGGAUAACAGAGCCAUGUCCUAUUUUUCGUCUCCUGUGUUACGUUGCAGUGAUGUGGCUGGACAAUCAUGGACUGCACUGACAACAAAAAAUGAAAUUCGGUGACAAGACGAGUUUUUGGGCACAAAUAUCUGUAUGCAGGGUUAGGUCGAUGGAAGAUGGCAUUUUUAUUUUUAGAUGGAUUUCCAAACCAUUGUUUACUGGCAGGCAUUAUUUAUUUGUUUAUGUUAGAACCUGCUUUCCUUUUAUUGUUUUUUUUUCUUUCUUUCUACUUAACGGCGAGAAUCUACUCCUGCAAUUGUUCCACACAAUACCUUUGGAAUUCUUGUGUUAUUCCUGCAUUAUUCUUAGGUCGGCUCAGGCACCGUACCUUAGGGGAAUUUCAUUUAAAGGACAAAUUAAAUAGAAACAGGGUACAAAAAGCACACCUUUAUUACUUCCUUUCCUUCAAGGUUAAUGGUACAGUAGUGAACUGCCACUUACAACAGGCAUAGAUCCAGUUUGUCCUCUGUGUGUGUCUUUACAGGUCACUGAGUGUGUACUUUGGUGUACUCUAUGCUAGUAGUACAUCAGAGUGUUAGAUACUAACUGCUUCUACCCUGGAGGCUAGCUCAAACCUCUCUGGUCAGCUGCCUCUUCAUUAUACAUGCUUUGUGUGCGUGCCUGUUGUGUUUGUUUGUUUUGAUGUUGCAGAAACCAGAGAUGGCAGUACUGCAAGUAUGCGGCGCCAAGCUUGGAUAGUACACCGCAGCACUUUAGCCAUUCAUGAGUUGGCAUCUGGCUCCUUGAUUCUGCUGGAGAGAGCCCUCAUCUGUACAAACACAACCCCUGAUCUGUAUUGCUGCUUUGGGUCAAUGGGGAUAUAAAAUACAGAAAUAAAAACACAGAGAGGGAGGAGGGGAGUAGCUCUAUAGCGUCUUCAUGGAUUAAUGGAAGGAAAAGUGAGACUAUUAAUCCUCCUUUCUCACUCGGUGGUGUGUAGUAUAGGAUAUGAUAGAGAAAAAGUACAAUGUAAAUAUUAACCAGUGUAUACUUUUACAAUUCUGCCCAUUCACCUACAGUUUCUGCUUAUUAGCAGGUUUAUAAUAAGUCACAGAGGAGAAGCACACUCUGCACACUGGGUGGGAUGGUUGGCAACCGCUUCUGUAUUUCUGCCUAAUUUGCCAUUGUGAAUACUAUUUAGUUAAAUGGCCGAAGUUUGUUUUGCUCCCCAGCUCCCUGCUGCGCUAGCAUUACUACACCACUCGGGCUAUAAGCAAUCAGAGAGAGAAAGGGAGAGGGAGAAAAAGAGUUACUGGGAUUUAAAGGAACAUGGACUGCAGUAUCAUGGUUUAAGUGAGGAGCACACCAAGUGAUGCUGAUGAGGAAGGAUGUGGUGAAGGGAGACGAAUGCCCGGGCCCUGAAGUGUACCAGUCUGAGAGAUAGCUCCCCGCGGUGAAGAAUCAACUGUGGCUAGCCUGAACUCCUGCCAAGCUCACUGGCUGUUUGAGUUGUUGCAGAUGGCACAAACAGGCAGUAGCACUGAUGUGGCAGGGUAUACAUUAUUAAAGAACAACUGUUAAGAGGAGACUGCGCGAAUCAGGCCUUCAUGGUCAAGUAGCUGCUC